AAUAAACUACAACUCAAGAUGUAUGAAUGAAUCCUCUGUAGCCAUUUCACCCCAAGAAUAAGCAAAACAGAAUUCAGAUAAGUGAAACCAUCAUUGGAACUGCAUCUAGUGAACAGAUGGAGCAUACAUGUCUUGAGAGUUCAAGGCCUAAGCAAGCCUAUAAAAACAUCUGUUGCAUUUCUUUUGGAAUGACCGAUAAACUACUAAAUAAAGAGUGGUACAAGGUUGGAAAUUUGGCUUCAAUAGGUAGUUCAGCUGGUUUCUAGGGGGUGAAAGUAGUGAAAAAUAAAGGAAUAGAAGACAAGUAAGAUGGAUUUGUGACAAUGUCAGCCCUGUUUGGAGUCUGCAUCACAUUUCUCGUUUUUCAUCAGUGACGUUUUCUGCUAGUUGCACUGCAGUUUUUGUUUCCUUAGUUAUGCUAACCCCUCGAUUGAUACCUUGAGGGAUGGAAAUGUGAUCACCAGAACCAAAACCGUGGGUGAAACCUGCUUUGCCAGAUGACCUGCCAUGCAACUCUCUUAUUAAAGCUAGGUUAUUGCCCUUGGUUGUCUCAUUCUCUGCUUUAGGCAAAUAGUUUUCUCCAGUUGAUGGCCUUGCUGUAGGUUUUGGAGCAUAUGUUGUUGACCAAGAUCCUCCAUUUGAUCCAGCCAAGGACAUUAUAACAUCUGCCUUGUUGGGAUGGACAUUAUCGAAAACAUGGGCUUGACCCCCGUAAAAUAUAGUCAUUUGAGAGCCAGCAGGUGACGAUCCUUGCCGACAUGGGUUAGAAGAUUCUAGGUCAGAGAAGUGAAGUGUAGACUUCUGCUUAGCACCACUUAAUGGCAACCCAGAAAGGCUUCUAUCAGAGAUUCCACCACUUGCAUUAAUGGAGCUCAAUAUUCCGGAUCCUUUGAUUCCUGUCCUUGAUCCUUCAUCGGCAGCUUGAGAUAUGUUAGAAGGUCCUGCAUUAGCAUCUCCAAACCUGCUGGAUGACGAUUGAUAUCCAAAAGGUAAAACAUGACUAGCACGUGGAGGAUACUGCAAGGUGGGACCAACAUUGACGGGAAUAACUCGAUCCCACUUGGAAGCAUUGACAUCAGUUCUACCAGUGGCGGAUGGUUGUGAUAUUAAAGAGGGAUGAAGUGGCCUCAAUGGAUGCAUAACAAAGGACAUUUCUUGGUCCUGUGGUCGUCCAUGUCGCUCACCCCCUGCAUUUCGUAGUAGCUUCUGCAUAUGCGAGCUCUCCAAUGCGUCUGGUCGCAGCAUUGCAAAUUUAUCUCUUGUUAACCCCAUCAAAGAGUCAGAAUUGCUUCUUUUUGUUCCCGACAAUCGAUUACUUGUCUCAGGCCCUGAAAGUUCACCCCUUAGGCCAUAGAACGGUACUCCUUCGAAAUGAUUUCCUACAACUCUUUCAGAACCCAGAUCAGAAGUAGUGGAAAUGGGGCCACGGCCACCCCCAGAAGAAGCACCAAGUGAGACAGAAGCAGACGGAGAUGCCUCUGACGGCAACACCACUCUGCCAGACAUCGCCGGAGAUGAAUCUUGAGUAUACCCUUUACCCAAAAAAUCAUGAAAAGUAGUGGCUGCUGGUUUCACUUCAUCUGCUUCAGUUGCAGUACCACUAACACUUUUGUUACUUUGGAUGUGAGCCAUACAUGAACAAACAGUACCAUCACCAACAAACCCAUUUCAUCCCUAUACAACUAUCUCCUUGAAGCUCCAUAAUCAAGUCUAGUAAAGGGGGUGGGGGUGAGAAAGAACCAAAAAAGCAAUAAUCUUUGCACAAGAAAGAUGGGGGAGAAAAGGUCACAACACACAGCUAUUGUACUUCAGUGUGAGCUUAUCUGCA
rnacentral:misc_RNA from 1 species